UACGUAGGUGGCAAGCGUUACUCGGAAUCACUAGGCGUAAAGCGCAGGUAGGCGGUUCGGUAAGUCUCUUGUGAAAGCUCCCGGCUCAACUGGGAGAGGUCAAGGGAAACUGCCGGGCUAGAGUGUGGCAGAGGAAGAUGGAAUUCCCGGUGUAGCGGUGAAAUGCGUAGAGAUCGGGAGGAAUACCUAUGGCGAAAGCAGGCUUCUGGGCCAUCACUGACACUGAUCUGCGAAAGCUAGGGGAGCAAACAGG
rnacentral:rRNA from 1 species